rnacentral:rRNA from 1 species
AGAGUUUGAUCCUGGCUCAGAACGAACGCUGGCGGCAUGCCUAACACAUGCAAGUCGAACGCACGGUUCCGGUUCGCCGGGGCGGUGAGUGGCGCACGGGUGAGUAGCGCGUGGGAACCUGCCUUUCAGUGGGGGAUAACCGCGGGAAACUGCGGCUAAUACCGCAUACGCCGGGGGUCUUGAAAGAGAUCGCCGGGAAA